GAUGAACGCUGGCGGCGUGCUUAACACAUGCAAGUCGAACGAAGCGCUUAAAUGGAUUUCUUCGGAUUGAAGUUUUUGUGACUGAGUGGCGGACGGGUGAGUAACGCGUGGGUAACCUGCCUCAUACAGGGGGAUAACAGUUAGAAAUGACUGCUAAUACCGCAUAAGCGCACAGUGCUGCAUGGCACAGUGUGAAAAACUCCGGUGGUAUGAGAUGGACCCGCGUCUGAUUAGCUAGUUGGUGGGGUAACGGCCUACCAAGGCGACGAUCAGUAGCCGGCCUGAGAGGGUGACCGGCCACAUUGGGACUGAGACACGGCCCAAACUCCUACGGGAGGCAGCAGUGGGGAAUAUUGCACAAUGGGGGAAACCCUGAUGCAGCGACGCCGCGUGAGCGAAGAAGUAUUUCGGUAUGUAAAGCUCUAUCAGCAGGGAAGAAAAUGACGGUACCUGACUAAGAAGCCCCGGCUAACUACGUGCCAGCAGCCGCGGUAAUACGUAGGGGGCAAGCGUUAUCCGGAUUUACUGGGUGUAAAGGGAGCGUAGACGGAUGUGCAAGUCUGAAGUGAAAGCCCGGGGCUCAACCCCGGGACUGCUUUGGAAACUGUGUAUCUAGAGUGCCGGAGAGGUAAGCGGAAUUCCCAGUGUAGCGGUGAAAUGCGUAGAUAUUGGGAGGACCACCAGUGGCGAAGGCGGCUUACUGGACGGUAACUGACGUUGAGGCUGGAAAGCGUGGGGAGCAAACAGGAUUAGAUACCCUGGUAGUCCACGCCGUAAACGAUGACUACUAGGUGUCGGGUGUCACAGACAUUCGGUGCCGCAGCUAACGCAAUAAGUAGUCCACCUGGGGAGUACGUUCGCAAGAAUGAAACUCAAAGGAAUUGACGGGGACCCGCACAAGCGGUGGAGCAUGUGGUUUAAUUCGAAGCGACGCGAAGAACCUUACCUGGUCUUGACAUCCCACUGACCGGACAGUAAUGUGUCCUUUUCUUCGGAACAGUGGAGACAGGUGGUGCAUGGUUGUCGUCAGCUCGUGUCGUGAGAUGUUGGGUUAAGUCCCGCAACGAGCGCAACCCCUAUCUUCAGUAGCCAGCAUUUCAGGUGGGCACUCUGGAGAGACUGCCAGGGAUAACCUGGAGGAAGGUGGGGAUGACGUCAAAUCAUCAUGCCCCUUAUGACCAGGGCUACACACGUGCUACAAUGGCGUAAACAAAGGGAAGCAGAACUGUGAGGUCGAGCAAAUCCCAAAAAUAACGUCUCAGUUCGGAUUGUAGUCUGCAACUCGACUACAUGAAGCUGGAAUCGCUAGUAAUCGCGAAUCAGCAUGUCGCGGUGAAUACGUUCCCGGGUCUUGUACACACCGCCCGUCACACCAUGGGAGCCGGAAAUGCCCGAAGUCAGUGACCCAACCGAAAGGAGGGAGCUGCCGAAGGUGGAGCCGGUAACUGGGGUGAAGUC
rnacentral:rRNA from 1 species